AUGACAGGCAUUUCAAGAGAUAAGAGGCAGGCUGCUGCCCACUCAAAAGCAUCAUUCCACCCAUCAGGCAGAGCGCCCAAAUUAAGGAUCGUAGCAAUUACACACAAGCAACAGCAUGGAAAAGAAGCCAGUGCUGCAGAGGUGAUCUGGAUCCAGGAAGAAAGGGAAGAUACCUUCAAUCAAAAAGAGACCACGUCUGCAGAAAACUUUUGGAUGCAACACAGCUGGUUCGCUUCAGGGGACACAUUCUCAGAAAUGGCCGGAUGAUUUCUGUGUGGGCUGGUUCCAGGAGAGCCCCAGUGAGGUGCUCCCUAGAUCAUCAACAUUAACAAGCUCCCUUUGCAGGUCAGUCCCCCAGCAUGCAGUGAUGUUUUAUGAUGUUUAGGAAGGUCAGAGGACUGCCAAAAAUCAUUAAAUGCUUACUGAUCUCUACUUUCUGGUUCCUUAGUCAUUUCCUCAGACAUCUGUGGUCUGCUUACUUCCUUUACCACCUUUUUUGAGUGUAAGUAUCAUGUGGAUGCUUUUUGACUUUUUAUCAUACAUGAUGAGUCAAAACUGCUCACCAUAACACAAAAUAAACAGUAGCAAGAACAGCCACAGCCAAAUGAACAAAUGUGUUUUAGAACUCACGCAACUCAGGAAAAUGAGGUAGAGUUUUUUUUUGGCAGAAUCCCUUUGCAAUAUGAUGCACUAAUACUCUUAGCUGGGAAUAAAUGUAAGGUAGAGUGUGUGGAAGAUACCACCUAAAGUAUGGUGUGGAGCGUGGGGGAGCCAUAUAUAUAUGUAUAUGUAUAAUGUAAUAUAUGUAACUGUAUAUAUAUAUACAUGUAUGUGUAGCCAUAUAUAUGUAUGUGUAUGCAUAUAAUAUAAUGUAUAUGUAUUGUGUAUGGGUGCUUUAUAUAGAUAAGCAAACAUACAUAUAUAUACACACAUAUACGUUAGUUUAUAAAGAAAAAUAUUUCAGAGACUUACAGACAUUUGAGUUAGCACUGUGUGCAGCGUUAUCAAAUAGGGUCUGUAUGUAUUCCCUUAGAUAUGGGUCUCCAGAAAAAGCUUAAGUGAAUGCCCCCAGCAGAUUAUCAUUACGUUUAGACACUACACUUAGAGUUUCAUUUCAUUCUGUAAUAAGGUGAGUUGAUGAUGGUGUUAUUUCAAUUUACAACUGAGAAAACCAAAAUCUGCAUGCAUUGUCAAAGGAAUUGCACUAGCAUCUGCUGCCUCUCAGUAUUCAGAGAAUGCUCAGGUAUUGCGAUGGUGAAACAAUUGUUUACAAUCUUAAAUUACUUUGCCAUGUCGUUAGUCACAAAUCAUCCAUAGGCUGCCUUCUUUAUGUCAUGCGCUUACUUUUAAUUAAGGAAGCAGAACCAGCAAAGGCUAUUGCUGUUCUUAUUCAUGGUGCAUUGGUGGCUAAGUCUUCCAUAACAACUGCGUAACACAAUAUCAC
rnacentral:lncRNA from 1 species